UACUAGGGGAGCAAGCGUUGUUCGGAUUUAUUGGGCGUAAAGGGAUCGUAGGCGGAUUGAUUAGUCAAAAUUUAAAUACAAUGGCUUAACCAUUGACCUGGUUUUGAUACUGUCAAUCUUGAGUUAUAUAGAGGUAAGCGGAAUUCCUGGUGUAGCGGUGAAAUGCGUAGAUAUCAGGAGGAACAUCAAAGGCGAAGGCAGCUUACUGGAUAUGGACUGACGCUGAGGAUCGAAAGCGUGGGUAGCAAAC
rnacentral:rRNA from 1 species